UAAUAGUGUAUAUUAAAGUUGUUGCAGUUAAAAAGCUCGUAGUUGAAUGUUGGUGUCGAACGAGCGGUCAGCUUCGGCUGUACUGCUCUCUCGACUCCUUCCUUCUGUGGACUACGUCGCACUUUACUGUGUGGCGCUAGGACGCAGAUCGUUUACUGUGAAAAAAUUAGAGUGUUCAAAGCAGGCCGUACGCUUGAAUACAUUAGCAUGGAAUAAUGGAAUAGGACGUCGGGCCUAUUUUGUUGGUUCUAGGGCCGUCGUAAUGAUUAAUAGGGACAGUUGGGGCCGUUUAUAUUCCGUAGUCAGAGGUGAAAUUCUUGGAUUUACGGAAGAUAAACUACUGCGAAAGCAUUCGGCAAGGAUGUUUNCGUUAA
rnacentral:rRNA from 1 species